GAGUGGUUAAGGCGACAGACUAGAAAUCUGUUGGGCUCUGCCCGCACAGGUUCGAAUCCUGUCGGCGACG
rnacentral:tRNA from 1 species